rnacentral:tRNA from 1 species
UAGCGCGCUUCGUUCGGGACGAAGAGGUCGCAGGUUCAAAUCCUGUUAUCCCGACCAUUGAGAUAAGCUGGGACAUG